AUGGAUGCAAACCGCCGUUAAACCAAAAAAGAAGAUAAAGACAUGAUCUAUUUCUACUUCCGGGUAGGGAGUGAAUCAAUAUUGUUGUCAUUUCUAGCUUCACUUUUCACUUUUGCACCGGCAAACAUUUGCCAAAGUUGUUUUUUUUGCUAUGUAUCACCAACCUGUGUUGAAGAACAGGCGGACACUUUUGGAGAGAGCUGAGAAGUUUAUUUCUGAUGUUUACUUCACAGACUGCAACCUGCGAGGACGGCUGUAUGGAGAAUCUUACCCACUGGAAUCCCUCAGCCAAUUUAUGUCUCCUAAACGGAUAACAUUGAUGGAAGCUCAAACACAGAGUUUUACACCUUACAAUGUAGGCGAUACCUUUGGACCGACGUGGUGGACUUGUUGGUUUAAAGCAACCCUGAAUAUUCCAGAAUGCUGGAGAGGUAAAGAGGUUCAUGUUCUCUGGGAAAGUGAUGGAGAGGCGAUGGUUUGGAGGGAUGGACAAGCAGUUCAGGGUUUGACUAAAGAAGGUGAAAAGACGAGUUACAUUUUGUCUGACUGCCUCACAGACGAAGAACCGCACAGUGUUACCAUCUAUGUGGAAAUGGCCUGUAAUGGACUCUUUGGAGCCGGUAACGGGUCAAUGAUCGCACCUCCAGACCCAAACAGGAAGUUUUCUGUGCAAAAAGCCGAGCUUGUGAUCUUCAACCGGGAAGUCAGGGAGCUGAUGACGGAUUUUGAGAUGCUCAUUGACAUUGUCAAGGAACUUGGCGAGGGCGAGCAGCGAAGCUACCAGGCUCUGUUCACCGUCAAUGAGAUGGUGAACGUGAGCGACCCCACUGAUCCCAGCUCUUUCUCUGGAGCACGGAGUUUGGCUCAGACUUUUUUUAGCCAACAUAACGGACAAAGCCAGCACACUGUCCUCGCCAUGGGCCACUGCCACAUUGACUCAGCUUGGCUGUGGCCUUAUGAAGAAACUAUUCGUAAGUGUGCCAGGAGUUGGGUGACGGUGAUCCAUCUCAUGAAAAAGAAUCCGGAUUUUGUGUUUACAUGUUCUCAAGCCCAACAGUUUGAGUGGGUCAAGUGCUGGUACCCAGGACUCUUUUCAGAGAUUCAGCAAUACAUUAAGGCUGGCCGGUUCAUUCCAGUCGGAGGGACGUGGGUGGAAAUGGAUGGUAAUCUACCCUCGGGAGAGUCCAUGGUCAGGCAGUUCCUGGAGGGCCAGCUUUUUUUUGAGCAAGAGUUUGGGAUGAGGUGUAAAGAAUUCUGGCUUCCAGAUACCUUUGGAUACUCGGCCCAACUCCCUCAGAUAAUGCAGGGCUGCGGAAUUUCCAAUUUCUUAACACAGAAACUAAGUUGGAACCUCGUGAACACCUUCCCUCAUAACACAUUUUUUUGGGAAGGCCUCGACGGCUCCAAGGUCUUGACUCACUUCCCACCUGGAGAUUCCUAUGAAACAAAAGGCAAGGUUGAAGACCUUGUAAAAACUGUAAAGCAAAACAAAGACAAGGGCAGGGCAAACCACAGUGUCAUGUUGUUUGGCUUUGGUGACGGGGGUGGUGGUCCUACGCAGUUGAUGCUGGACAGACUGAAGCGGGUCCAGGACACAGAUGGCCUUCCUAAGAUUCGAAUGUCCUCUCCUGACUCAUUUUUCUCUGAGCUUUGGGCCGACUCACAUCUGCUGUGCACUUGGGCAGGGGAGCUGUUUCUCGAGUUGCACAACGGCACGUACACCACACAGGCACAGAUCAAGCGGGGAAACCGCCAGUGUGAGACACUCCUGCAUGACAUCGAGAUAGCCAGCAGCUUGGCAAUGUGUCAGGACACACAUUUUCAGUAUCCUGUAGGGAGGCUGAGAGAACUCUGGAGGCUUCUGCUACUAAACCAGUUCCAUGAUGUAAUCCCAGGCAGCUGUAUUGAGAUGGUUGUAGAGGAUGCAUUGAGAUAUUAUGAAGAUAUUCGUAGGAGUGGUGCCGCACUCCUGCAAGAUAGCCUUAGUGCUCUGGUGUCAAAGGGCGAUGCCACAAGUGUAUUCAACUCUCUGUCCUGGGAGCGCCUUGAAGUCAUUCAGAUUCAGGAUGGCCCCAGCAAUGAGUUUGCUCUGGUGCGAGUUCCCAGUAUUGGUGUGAAUUUCAUUCAAGAAACAAAGCCUGCGACUGCAGUUUGUGUUACUCUUCAGGAGGACGGCAGUGUCCUCAUGGAAAACGGCAUCAUACGCACUGUUGUGAAAAAAGAUGGCACAAUGGCAUCACUGCAUUUGAUAUCUGCAAACAGGGAAGCUCUUUCGGUUGGCUGCUGUGGUAACCAGUUUGUCAUGUUUGAUGACGUACCUCUGUACUGGGAUGCAUGGGAUGUUAUGGACUACCAUCUUCAGACAAGGAGGCCUGUGGUGGAAGUGGUGCAGCCUGCUCAUGUGCUCUCUUCGCAUGAACUCAGAGGAAGUGUCAGCUUCACGCUGAGGAUCAGCGACAAGAGUACAGUCACACAGGAGAUUGUGAUGGACGCCAUGUGUCCUUACAUUAAGUUCAACACGCAGGUGAACUGGGCCGAGUCACACAAGUUUCUUAAGGUUGAAUUCCCAGUGCAAGUGCACAGUCCCAACGCAACGUAUGAGAUUCAGUUUGGUCAUCUGCAGAGACCUACACACAGGAACACAUCGUGGGACUGGGCCAGAUUUGAAGUAUGGGGUCAUAAAUGGGCCGAUUUGUCAGAGCACAAUUUUGGAGUGGCACUGCUCAAUGACUGCAAGUACGGGUAUUCGGUCUUCAAGAACACAAUGGCGCUCUCGCUGUUGAGGGCGCCAAAGGCUCCAGAUGCCAACGCUGAUAUGGGAUCUCAUCACUUCACCUAUGCAAUCAUGCCACACGCAGGGACCUUACAAGAUGCCGGAGUCAUCCAAUGUGCGUACAACCUCAAUUACCCUUUAAGGUUAACCCCGUGCUCCUCUGACAUGGCGCUCUGGAGCGCCUUUUCCAUUAGCCCUGCAGCUGUCAUCCUAGAGACUGUUAAACAGGCAGGGAGCCCUCCUUGUCAGAAUGUACGAGGCUUACGGCGGAGGUGUGACUGCAACCCUCCACACAACUCUUCCAAUCAAGGAGGCCUGGCAUUGUGAUCUUUUAGAGCAAACAGACACUACUCAGCCAGCAUGUGACUCUGCAGAUGGGAUCAUUCUCCACUUCACUCCAUUCCAAGUUAGAUCGCUGCUGCUUAUAUUUUAAACAGCAAGUCAUCAGACACAGAGUGGAACCUCUUAAGGUUGAGGGCGCCAAAGGCUCCAGAUUCCAACGCUGAUAUGGGAUCUCAUCACUUCACCUAUGCAAUCAUGCCACACGCAGGGACCUUACAAGAUGCCGGAGUCAUCCAAUGUGCGUACAACCUCAAUUACCCUUUAAGGUUAACCCCGUGCUCCUCUGACAUGGCGCUCUGGAGCGCCUUUUCCAUUAGCCCUGCAGCUGUCAUCCUAGAGACUGUUAAACAGGCAGGGAGCCCUCCUUGUCAGAAUGUACGAGGCUUACGGCGGAGGUGUGACUGCAACCCUCCACACAACUCUUCCAAUCAAGGAGGCCUGGCAUUGUGAUCUUUUAGAGCAAACAGACACUACUCAGCCAGCAUGUGACUCUGCAGAUGGGAUCAUUCUCCACUUCACUCCAUUCCAAGUUAGAUCGCUGCUGCUUAUAUUUUAAACAGCAAGUCAUCAGACACAGAGUGGAACCUCUUAAGAAAGGAGAUGAAGACACAUUUGAAGAUGGGAUGUGGAAGCAUUGGCCAAUCUGAGGUUCCUGUCGUGAACACAUCUUCAUCAGAAGGUUUGCCCAACUUUACUUGUGCCCGUCAUUUACAAACGGUAAGUUUAAAUCCUUUUUCUUAGAUAGGUUAGUAGUGUCUGAAAAUUACAAACACAAUAACUUAUCAUCACUCCGUCAUUUAAUGAAACAAACUCAAAGUCCUACUGUAUAUGCACAGAAAGUGAACAUCAACACAGAUAAUGGCAGCUAACAUACAGUACUAGCCAAAAGUUUGGACACACCGUCUCAUUCAAUGCAUUUUUAUAUUUUAUUUUCAUGACAUUGUCACUGAUGGCAUCAAAACUAUGAGUGUGGAGUUAUGUACUUAACAAAAAAAGGUGAAAUAACUGAAAACAUGAUUUAUAUUCUAGUUUUUUCAAAAUAGCCACCAUUUGCUCGGAUUACUGCUUUGCACACUCUUGACAUUUCUCUCGAUGAGCUUCAAGCACACUUGUGAAGUGAAAGCCAUUUCUGAUGACUACCUCUUGAAGCCAAGAGAGUGCGAAAAAAUAAUCAGAGCAAAGAGUGGCUAUUUUGAAGAAACUAGAAUAGAAAACAUGUUUUCAGUUAUUUCACAUUUUUGUUAAGUAGAUAACUCUACAUGUGUUCAUCCAGAGUUUUGAUGCUUUCAGUGACAAUCUACAAUGUCCAUCCAUCCAUCCAUCCAUCUUCUUCCGCUUAUCCGAGGUCGGGUCGCGGGGGCAGCAGCCUAAGCAGGGAAACCAAGACUUCCCUCUCCCUAGCCACUUCGUCUAGCUCUUCCCGGGGGAUCCCGAGGCGUUCCCAGGCCAGCCGGGAGACAUAGUCUUCCCAACGUGUCCUGGGUCUUCCCCGUGGCCUCCUACCGGUUGGACGUGCCCUAAACACCUCCCUCGGGAGGCGUUCGGGUGGCAUCCUGACCAGAUGCCCGAACCACCUCAUCUGGCUCCUCUCGAUGUGGAGGAGCAGCGGCUUUACUUUGAGUUCCUCCCGGAUGACAGAGCUUCUCACCCUAUCUCUAAGGGAGAGGAGGAAACUCAUUUCGGCCGCUUGUACCCGUGAUCUUAUCCUUUCGGUCAUGACCAAAAGCUCAUGACCAUAGGUGAGGAUGGGAACGUAGAUCGACCGGUAAAUUGAGAGCUUUGCCUUCCGGCUCAGCUCCUUCUUCACCACAACGGAUCGGUACAACGUCCGCAUUACUGAAGACGCCGCACCGAUCCGCCUGUCGAUCUCACGAUCCACUCUUCCCUCACUCGUGAACAAGACUCCUAGGUACUUGAACUCCUCCACUUGGGGCAACAAUGUAAAUAGUCAUAAAAAUAAAGAAAAAGCAUUGAAUGAGAAGGUGUGUCCACACUUUUGGCCUGUACUGUACAGAGAGCAAUCAUAUUGCUGUCUCAAAUGAGCCACCGUUUAUCAGUCAGAUGCAAUAGAAAAAAUGGCGCUGCUAUACAGUAGAAUUACUGAUUCCAUUAAAGGUGGAAUCACCUUUAAUGUGGAAAAAACUAAUAAACAUCACACAAAUUCAUAAAAAGCUAGGGGUGGCACAAUAGUAUGCCCUGUCAGAAAUGUGUUCAGCCAUAAUUAAAAUUGCAGUGUGUGUAGACCUACCUUUGAUGGCUAACGUGGAAUUUUGCCCACACUUAUUGAAGAGGAAGAUAACCACCAGCAUGACGCUAGCAAACCCUGCAAGUCCGACUGCUAUAGAAACCUUGAAAUGGGAGGAGGUAAAGAGACUAUUAUUUAAAAAAAAAUGAUGUACCAUUCACUACAAUCACAUGCUCAUAAUGUUCCUGCAUUAACCACAAUAUAAUAAAUAUUCUGAAAACUUCUGAAAAAUGCCAAUUCCAAAUCAAGGAUUUUUUUCCAUUAUUAAAAACGUAAUUUGGACCCGGGAUGUAUGCUUGUACACGGUUUGAUGUACUAAAGUUAUACAAACCAUACAGCAAACAUAUUAAUCAGUUCUCAUGCUCAGAAAGGAUUGUGGGAUGUUUGUUUUCGCCAUUCCAUCGAAUGAAGAUGAAACAGUUGUUACAGCCUUGUUGGCCGUGACUCCAGGGUGCAGAGAUGGCAGGCAAAGUGCAGGUAAAAUGUAUUUAAUGAUAAGGAAGUGCAAACAAUGCAAAAUAGGCACAGGGAAAGCUGUGCAGCAUUAAGGUACAAAGCACUUUGGCAUAAAACAUCGUAAUUAUCAAUCCCUUGAUUGCUAAUCAAGGACAAGUGAAGGAGCCAGCGCUUGGAGAAGUAAUGCUGGUUAGUGAUAUGUUGAAAUCUUUAAGAGAAUCAGUGAGGUAUUUUGGACCAAUAAAUAUGAGAUUAGUUUUUUGUAGUAGAGUUUGAGAAAGUUUAUGUUUAUCCAGAUGUUUACAUCAGUGAAGCAGUUGGUGAACUGUAGAUCUGUAUAUUAUCAGUGUAGCAGUAAUAAUUAAGGCCAUGUGACUUAUUAAUUGCCCAAAUUGAAGUAUGUUAAGGUUGAAGAAGAGAUGGCCAAUUUACGAACUUUGGGGGACACCUUGGUACAAGGGGGCAAUGGAUUAGGUGGAGUUAUUGAUGGAUAGGAAUUGCUGUCUAUUGUUCAGAUAUGACUUAAUCCAGAGUGCAGUGCCUGUAAUGUUGAGGAAAUUUUCCAGGUUUAAGAGAGCAAUGGCGUGAUUAAUGGCAUCAAAAGCUGCAAGGAGAUCGAGAAGAAUGAAGAGAUUGAGGUGGCGUAGGUCAGAUGCGAGGGGGAGGUGAAUUAAAGACUUUGCAAAGGGCUCUUUUAGUGCUUUUGGGGGAACGCAAACCAGACUGAAAUGGACUGGAGAGAUUAUUGACAUUAUGCUGAACUGUUAUUUGGCUCGUCAAUGCACAUUCCAAUAUUGUUUGGCAAAAUAAGAUGGUUGAAGACGGGCCAGAAGUUGCUAAUGGCUUUAGUGUCAAGUCCAGGUUUUUUGAGGCGGGUGUCACAGAGUCAGUUUUGAAUGAGGUAGAAACAGAACCGGAGUUGAGGGAGAGUUCAGUAUAUUUGUAAUUAGAGGGGUCAUCUGGUGUCUUAUAAAUCGGAAUAAAACAUUUGCUUUGUAAUUGUACAGUUUAUUUAAUUGAUUUAGAUGUAAUAUACUAUUCAAGUAAAAAUGUUAUUAGGUACAUUUAAAUUUGGUUGCAUACUUUUGAUGUGGCUGUGCAUGAAAUGAAGUUUAAAAUGCAAUAUUAUAAUUUAUCAAUUAGCUGUCUUAAUGUUGUGACUGACGGUAAAAGUAGUUUAUAGGUGAUACUAUUUUUUUAGCAAAGAUUAAAAUGUUAAUGCUGAAAGGCAUGAUACAAAGUUGGUAAAAUCCUGAAACUGUAUAUAAAAAAGCAGAAUUGUAAAAUAAAUGUUUAAAAUGGGUAUGUUUAUAAACUGUUUUGUAUUUACUGAAUACAAUUUUGUUUGAAUGUUUUUUACUUAAUUCCACUGAGUAAAAAUAUGUAAUAAAAAGUGAGAGUUAAAUUCUGAGUCAAGUCCAAGUCUUUGGGAAGCCUUACAGUCAUAGAUAGACUUGACAAAGUCAUACAAACUUAUUUAAUUUAAUUUUAAUUUUAUUUUUUAUCAUGAAAAAGGGAGGUUUUUUUGGGUUGGUGCACUAAUUGUAAGUGUAUCUGGAGCUUAUCUCAGCUACACAUGGGCGGAAGGCGGUGUACAUCCUGGACAAGUCGCCACCUUAUCGCAGCCAACUUAUGCUUGUUUAAUGUAAUAUGUUUAACUUACUAUGAAUGCAUACUUUUAACACUUUGUAUUGACCUGAGGGGACCCUGUCAUUAAUAGUCAGAGCAUGUACCAUCAAUUGAUUAACGUGGACCCCGAUUUAAACAAGUUGAAAAACUUAUUGGGGUGUUACCAUUUAGUGGUCAAUUGUACGGAAUAUGUACUGAACUGUGCAAUCUACUAAUAAAAGUAUCAAUCAAUCAAGCAAUUGUUGAAAUUAAGUACUAUAUGAUUUUUUUUUUUUCGUGAUUGUGCAAGUCCAGGGUUGUGUUGAAGUGUAAUUGUUGCGUUUUUCCUAGUUUUUGCAAUUUUUGGCUCCCCUUCUUUGGUCUCUUUCUCGAAAGAAAAACUCUAAAAUAUCGGACAGUCCUCUGCCAAACUUUUUUUUACAUUGAACCUAAAAGUUACACAGAGGUUCUUACUGGAGGAGGAGCAACUCUUUAUGAACAUUGCCGGAGACGCCGCAGAGAAGGACAACAAGCAGGUGCACUCAUUAAACAGAGGUAGAGGGGAUUACGCACAGUGCUUCUAUCCAUUCACUUGGCGAACAUCCACUCCCUGGCUAAUAAGCUGGACGAACACCAAAAACACCUUGACACUAAAAACACAGAUUUUUGUAGAUCCGUUGUCCUGGGUUUUACUGAAACUAAAAACCAGUUUAUUAACUCCGGGAGAUCUCCUCGUUUGUUAUGGUCGCUGUUUACAUACUACCUCAGGCGUGCGGAACAGUGAUAAACGACUCUUAUUGUUCUGUUCACAGGGCAGCUUUGGAAAUCUAUCUAAUUCCCUUCAUCCCGAUUCCCGACCUACAGGCAAAAGUUAAAAACUGCUAAGCCUGUAGACUUUAAAGAGAUGGUCAAAGGAAUCAAAAGAGUAAUUACAGGCCUGUUUUGAUCGUACUGAUUGGAGUGUCUUUGAAGUUGCUUUAAAAAAUCUUGGGAAACUCACUGACCUGUGACAUUAUAUGUCAGCUUCUCUGUGUGUGUGCAGACUAAGACCUUCUGCACACAUUUGUGUCAGGCCAAGGAGAUCAGAGUAGCUAAGAAACACACUGUUAUGCUUACCAUUGGUUUUGGGUUUAAACGUAUACAUUAAAUGUGUCCCCACAGUGUCAUAUCAUUGGUGAGUUACAUCCAGGUGAAAACAAAUCCUGGGGGGAGAAUGAUCUAAUACAGUGCCUCUCCAUAAGUGGUGCUCCAGGCAUACAUACCAAUCAAGCUUUAUUGCAGACACCAACGUCCAAGUAGACAUACAAUCACAUACGGUACAUAAAACAAAGAAUACAGUCUAUAUAACAUGAUAUUAAAAUAGUGCUUGUGCAUAUUAAGUAAAAGUUAAAAGUUAAAGUUAAAGUACCAAUGAUUGUAGGCAUCCAACAAACAAAUGCAACAAUAAAAAUAUGCUUUUAAAAUGCUUCUACACAUUCUAUAAAAGUGCCACCAACACUGAUUUAAAUGUAACUUAGAUAUUGGGUUUCACUAUGUAAAGCGCUUUGAGUCACUAGAGAAAAGUGCUAUAUAAAUAUAAUUCACGUCACUAUAAAAGGCACAAAUACCAGUGUUUAACAUAUUGGCUUGGACAUACAUCAUUGUUCUCUGUCCAAGCAUGUCAGCAUCAUCCACCAUCUCAUCAUUGAUGAUGUGGCCUGAAUGUUUUACAUUGUUGCAAAUAGACAGGGUUUGACCGGACAAGUAGAAAACUGGGAAAUUAAAAAAUGUUGAUCCUCCUUGAUUCUACAUAUCAUUACCAUAGUCUUUGUGGCAUUAUACUUGAUGUCAAACUCGUCUCCAUAGUCUCAGCAUAUGUUAAGAAGCUGUUGAAACCCUGCAGUACUGGAAGUUAUAAUGGCCAAAUCAUCAGCGUACAUAGUGGUUGAGAAAGGUGUUCUCAAAUAUGCACCCUGUUGUACAAUCUCUCUUUGACAAGGUUAUCCAUAUACCAAUCUGGUAUAUAGAAGCCCACCCUGCUGUACCCCAUUGCCAACUCUAAAAGGAGAGGAUAAUAUACUCCCCCGUUUUACCUGCAUUGUCUGCCUGCUGUACCAAUAUGCUAAAAUAUGUAUGAGGACCCCAAUGCUUUUGCUUGGUGAAGAGUUUGUGAUGGUUGACGCUGUCAAAUGCUUUAGAUCAGGGGUGCCCACACU